AUACGUAGGGGGCGAGCGUUGUCCGGAAUGAUUGGGCGUAAAGGGCGCGUAGGCGGCCCGGUAAGUCUGGAGUGAAAGUCCUGUUUUUAAGAUGGGAAUUGCUUUGGAUACUGUCGGGCUUGAGUGCAGGAGAGGUAAGUGGAAUUCCCAGUUUAGCGGUGAAAUGCGUAGAGAUUGGGAGGAACACCAGUGGCGAAGGCGACUUACUGGACUGUAACUGACGCUGAGACGCGAAAGUGUGGGGAGCAAACAGGAUUAGAUACCCUGGUAGUCCACACUGUAAACGAUGAAUGCUAGGUGUAGGGGGUAUCGACCCCUUCUGUGCCGCAGUCAACACAAUAAGCAUUCCGCCUGGGGAGUACGGCCGCAAGGUUGAAACUCAAAGGAAUUGACGGGG
rnacentral:rRNA from 1 species